AUGCCUCUUGGAGGAUUAAAAAAUGCCAAUAGGCAUGGAAAACAUAGAAGGAUAAGACCUCAGAGGAGCCAGGACCUCAGGUUUCCACAGACCUGGGAUUUGCACGGCAGCAGAGUCACCGUGGAGAGGCCAGGGUAUCACAAACUUAAGGAUUUUUACAAGAAAAGAGAGCAAGAGACGGAGGAGGGCCGGAGAAUGUCCAAGGCCGGCCGGGGCCGGAGCAACCACGGCAUCCGGAGCUCGGGGACCAGCUCGGGGGUCCUGAUGGUGGGCCGUAACUUCCGCGUCGGCAAGAAGAUCGGCUGUGGCAACUUCGGGGAGCUCCGCCCGGGAAAGAAUCUCUAUGCAAAUGAAUAGGUGGCUAUCAAAUUGGAGCCGAUCAAGUCCCGGGCCCCACAGCUGCACCUGGAGUACCGGUUCUACAAGCAGCUCAGUGUCACAGAGGGCGUCCCUCAGGUCUCCUACUUCGGCCCGUGCGGGAAGUUCGACGCCAUGGUGCUGGAGCUGCUGGGGCCCAGCCUGGAGGACGAGUGUGACCUGUGCGACCGCACCUUCACGCUCAAGACGGUGCUGAUGAUCACCAUCCAGCUGAUCACGCGCAUGGAGUACGUGCACACCAAGAGCCUCAUCUACCGGGACGUGAAGCCGGAGAACUUCCGGGUGGGCCGCACGGGGACCAAGCAGCAGCACGCCAUCCACAUCAUCGACUUCGGGCUGGCCAAGGAGUACAUCGACCCGGAGACCAAGAAGCACAUCCCGUACCGCGAGCACAAGAGCCUGACGGGCACAGCGCGCUACGUGAGCAUCAACACGCACCUGGACGACCUGGAGGCGCUGGGCCACCUGUUCAUGUACUUCCUGCGCGGCAGCCUCCCCUGGCAGUGGCUCGAGGCCGACACGCUCAAGGAGCGGUACCGGAAGAUCGGGGACACCAAAUGCGCCACGCCCACUGAGGUGCUUGGCGAGAACUUCUCAGAGGAGAUGGCCACAUACCUGCGCUACGUGCGGCGCCUGGACUUCUUCGAGAAGCCUGACUAUGACUACCUGCGCAAGCUCUUCACCGACCUCUUCGACCGCAGCGGCGUUGUGUUCGACUAUGAGUACUACUGGGCCGGAAAGCCCCUGCCGACCCCCAUCGGCACCAUCCACACCGACCUGCCCUCCCAGGCUCGGCUCUGAGACAAAGCCCAGCCACACAGCAAAAACCAGGCGCUGAACUCCACCAACGGGGAGCUGAACGCUGACGACCCCACGGCGGGCCACUCCAAUGCCCCCCUCACGGCGCCUGCAGAGGUGGAAGUCACCAAUGAAACCAAAUGCUACUGCUUCUCCAAGAGAAGAAAGAGAAAAUCGCUGCAGCGACACAAGUGACCGGGCGCAUGCAGCCCCCUGAAUCUUCUCCGUGCAGCCCCUUGGGGCGGGAGCUUGUGCGAGGCCUUCGAGGCCCACCCACAGCGGCCCAGGGCCAGACCCUGGCUGGAAGCCAGGACGCAGACUGCAGGGGCCGCCCUGGCUCGGCUGGCGGCCCCACCCCGGGACGUGGGUCACUCCCUUCACGUAAGACUUUGGCAAAAUUCCUACACCUGUGUCUAGUCCUCCCCUCCAAGAGCAUUAACUAUUUAAAACAAGGAAAAAAGGAAAAAACAGAGGCCCACCUUGCCCCCACGCCUGCCCCUCCGUUUCUUUGCUGAAGUGAGUAGUGUGAUCUGGGGGCUCCGGCUGAGGCCCGGCCCCGCCAGCCGUCCCCGUUAGCGUCAUGAAGUCCAGCUUGUCUCCCUCGAUCCAAAGGCCGUUUUCUCGAGGGGAGGGCAGGCCCGGCCUGGAGGGGUGCUGUGGGGCCGUCUUGCCCAGGCCCUCCUGGGAGGGGCACAGGCAUUGCUGCCAGGGGUGAGGCCUUGCUGCAGGCCUCCCCGAAGCCAACGGGGAAGGCAGGGGUGGGGCCGCAGCUGAAGCCGGCUCCCCAACCAAAAUGCUGCACCAAAGCUUGGGCGCCACAGACACGACCACUGCAGCCUCUUCCCAGCCUGGCCCCGGCGAGUGCAGGUGGGCCCUGCCAGGCGGGUGCUUCUCGACGCACCUACUCCCAGAGGCUGUGCCCCGACGCCCAGAACCCGAGGCAGGACGGCUGGCUGGUGUCGCCCUGCCUAGCCCCGGGCCGUACUGAAUGGGGCGCGGGCACAGGGCUUCCUGCCUCUGUGCUCCGCCACCCGGCCAGCGGCCAGGACAAAACGCCUUAAAGCCCCGGCCCAGCCCCGCAGGUGUGCGCGCAGGGAGCCUGGGGCGCCCUGAACUGGCAGGCGGUCCCCAGAGGGGUCGCCUGGAGGCUGCAAGGCAGAGUGGGGCAGCUUGGGGCCUUGGCUGGGAGUCUAGGUUUUGCUUUACCAAGUAUACAGAAAUGGCAUUCACGUUUCUCUGACGCUCCCUUGAAGCCAUAGAAUUUAGGCGCUUUUUAAAAAAAA